rnacentral:misc_RNA from 1 species
GGGGCGACGGAGUCGAAUAAUAUUUCGAUUAAAGGAGUUAUGAAAUUCUACAAAGAAAAGAAGCGUCAUGUCAUUACUACUCAAACUGAGCACAAGUGCGUGCUGGACUCCUGUCGCCAUCUCCAACAGGAGGGUUUCGACGUCACUUACCUUCCUGUGGGAAACGAUGGGAUUGUCGAUUUGGAGAAAUUACGAUCAGCCAUCAGGCCUGAUACUGGACUUGUUUCGGUUAUGGCGGUGAACAACGAGAUUGGUGUGAUUCAACCGCUGGAGGAAAUUGGCAAAAUCUGUAAGGAAUUCAAUGUGCCGUUUCACACUGAUGCCGCGCAAGCGCUGGGAAAGAUUCCAGUUGAUGUGGAGAAAUGGAAUGUUAGCUUGAUGUCAUUGAGUGGA